ensembl:lincRNA
CGUGGGAGUCGCUGCCCAGGGCGGCCUUUGUGCACGGAGCUGCAGACACAGAGAUGACCCGGUGCCGCCCAGCAGGGGACAGGCCACCGUCCGGUACAGGCAGUUAGAGGAGUAAUCCCAGGGUACAAGCGCACACGACGGAAACCCUCGGGGACGUGGAGCGGGGCAGGGAGGAGGCGGGGACAGCUGGAACGAGGCGUGGGAGGCACGGCAGUGAGAAGCACUCGCGCGGUCCUGCAUGCAGAGGGGAGCCCCGAAGCGUUUGGGGUUGAAAAUGAGAAGAAGAGGGGCAAAGUGCGGCUGGCACGCGGGAAUCCCGUAGGUGAGGAGAGCCAGGGAGGACUCAGUUAAUUUGCAUUUUACAAAUGGCACCCCGCGGCCGGAGUGGUCAGGUUGGCAGGGAGUGAGGCCAGGGAAGCCUGCGGGAUUCCAAGCAGGACCAGGGAGGGCGCCAAGGAGUCGGCAGCCGUGAGAAUUGUCUGGGCCGAGGUUUCUCACGCUGCAGCCUGAGGACCUCCAGGGCGGCCUAGGCUCAACUCGAGGGGUCUUCAAGUGUCUCUGGAGAAAUGCCACCCUAGGAAACAAGUCUCAUUUCCUGAAAAGGACUUGCAGUUGCUCGUCUUCACUGCGUUGGACUUUUGCCUUUUACCCUGAAAAGGAUCGGACUACUGUAAGAGACUGAGAAUCGUUUGCUGGUGUUCUGACAGCAGGACCUGUUUUUCUCCAAGCUGGGGAAGGAUGCCAGGCGCAGUUUAGGGAGUAAAAUGACGACGUGUGUCCAGUGCGGGUGGAGAGGGUGCAAGAACCCUUGAUGGCUGGCUGGCAGGGCCUCUGGGGCCGUCGGGGAACAGAGGGCAGGUGCGGGGCAGCGUGGGGGAGUCUCUGGGAUCCCUUCCAGCCCUAAAGAAGGCCCAGGCCCACUUGGACUUCCUGCUCUUCUUUGUCCUGGCCCAGGAGUUUCCCUCCUCCCCUACGGGUCGGGCGCUGGGGACCUGGAGUUCGUCAGGAGGACUGUGGACUUCACCUCCCCGCUCUUCAAGCCCCUGACUGGCUUUCCCCUCGGCUCCUCUCUCCGGGAUUCCCUCUACUUCACAGACAACGGCCAGAUCAUCUUCCCAGAGUCAGACGACCAGAUUUUCUCCUACCCAAACCCGCUCCCGACAGGCUUCGCGGGCUGGGACCCUGUGGCCCUGGUGGCUCCGUUCUGGGAUGAUGCUGAUUUCUCCCAUGGUCGGGGGACCAUAUUUUACCGGGAAUACGAGACGCUGUACGGUGAACACAACCUGCUAGUCCUGCAGGCCGAGUCCUGGAUUAGAAAGAUGACAAACAACGGGGACUACAAGGCCAGGUGGACCCUAAAGGUCACGUGGGUCAGUGCCCACGCCUAUCCUGCCCAGUGGAGCCUCGGGGUGAGUAGACCCGCGGACAGCUCCCUGGGAGCCAUCUGGGAGUCAGACAUCCGCGAAUUCUAGGCAGGGGCUGCUCUUCCAAAGCCCUCUCUGGCUCCAGGAAAGAUUGCUAAUUAUAGCAAGCCCGCCCCACCCCGCCCACUG